rnacentral:lncRNA from 10 species
UAGCAUCUGCAUUGUAUUACACAUCCUGAAUAAUCUAGAGAUGGUCUAAUGUCUACAGGAGGAUGUGCAUAGCUGAUAUGUAAAUACUAGGCCAUGUUAUGUCAGAGACUUGAGGAUCCAUGGAUUUUGGCAUCCCCGGGGACCCUAGAACUAAUCCAUGGAUACCAAGGGAUGACUGUAGAAACUCACUCAGGAAGGCUUCUCAUUGGAGGAAGGGCCCAGUUCAGGACACACAGGGACAUCUCCCUGGACUACUGUCCAUUCAUCCAUCCAUUCAUCCAUUGUCUCCCCCCACUCCCCCAUCUCGGACUGUCCCAAUGACAGCCCUAGCAAGAAGAGACAAGAAACAAGAUAAGUUCACAUUGUCCAUUU